rnacentral:rRNA from 1 species
AUGAGCGGUUGUAUAUGGCCCUAUCGUCUAGUGAUGCCCCUAUCGUCUAGUGCUUCAGGACAUCUCUCUUUCAAGGAGGCAGCGGGGAUUCGACUUCCCCUGGGGUAGGGAGUAUUAUGAAAGGAGGUUAAUCAUAGAUUAGCAAAAACACUACUAAUCCUUAACUUUUCGAGGAAUCCUUCAUCAGUGGUUGUGAAUGACUGA